rnacentral:rRNA from 1 species
UACAGAGGGGGCAAGCGUUGUUCGGAAUUACUGGGCGUAAAGGGCGCGUAGGCGGCCGUCUAAGUCGAACGUGAAAUCCCUGGGCUCAACCCAGGAACUGCGUCCGAUACUGGCCGGCUUGAAUUCGGGAGAGGGAUGCGGAAUUCCAGGUGUAGCGGUGAAAUGCGUAGAUAUCUGGAGGAACACCGGUGGCGAAGGCGGCAUCCUGGACCGAGAUUGACGCUGAGGCGCGAAAGCCAGGGGAGCAAACGGG